rnacentral:lncRNA from 11 species
GAGAUGACUUCCUCCCUUUGUCGCUCACUCUGUGCCUUCUCUUCUCUCUUUUUUGUUAAGUCUCCUCCGCAUUCAGGAUCAGAUGUUUCAAAUGGAGUUCGCUUAUGGAAGGAAGCCAACCUGUGACAACACAACAAGGAUUCUGUGCCCCUAACUCAGCAAAUAUGGAGAGCUGUAUACACUACAUAGAGCUUUUACUAUCAAAAAAACAGCAUGCACUUGUCAGCUGAUUCCACUUGACCUCAAGGGGAGAUUAUUUCAGAAAAGAAAAGUAUUGGAAGUCUUUUUGAAAAAUAAAAUAAAACAUGUAUUUUUUAUAUACCUGGAAUGUUAACAUCUUCAUGUGUGCAUCGCACAACUCCAGAUGAUUUCACAGUUUCUUCUGUCAGUUUCACCAAAUCUGUGCUUUCUGGUGGAUUCCAUCUUUGAUAUUGAUAUAUCUCUCCAUCCAUUUAAAAUACAGCAGUGAAUAAAAAUAUAAUAAAAAC